UACACUCCUGCGGGAGGCAGCAGUGGAGAAUUUUGGACAAUGGGCGAAAGCCUGAUCCAGCCAUGCCGCGUGCAGGAUGAAGGCCUUCGGGUUGUAAACUGCUUUUGUACGGAACGAAACGGCCUUUUCUAAUAAAGAGGGCUAAUGACGGUACCGUAAGAAUAAGCACCGGCUAACUACGUGCCAGCAGCCGCGGUAAUACGUAGGGUGCAAGCGUUAAUCGGAAUUACUGGGCGUAAAGCGUGCGCAGGCGGUUAUGUAAGACAGUUGUGAAAUCCCCGGGCUCAACCUGGGAACUGCAUCUGUGACUGCAUAGCUAGAGUACGGUAGAGGGGGAUGGAAUUCCGCGUGUAGCAGUGAAAUGCGUAGAUAUGCGGAGGAACACCGAUGGCGAAGGCAAUCCCCUGGACCUGUACUGACGCUCAUGCACGAAAGCGUGGGGAGCAAACAGGAUUAGAAACCCGGGUAGUCCC
rnacentral:rRNA from 1 species